rnacentral:lncRNA from 1 species
AACGUAUACACUCAACAACAUCACAAUAAAUAAUAGAAACGUGCAGUCGUUUGAGAACCCCGACACACUAGCCAAGAGACCAUGCAAACAUUACCCGACGGAAAAUUAUAAUAAUCAUGACAAAGGUUGUGUCGCCGCAUCCAGCCCGCUAGGAGGACUCCGCCACGUGACGUGUCGACACCAAUUAGACUACGAAACGGUGGCGGCAAAUCGUUCCAGCACUUGGAUGCGGCGAACCUGAAACUGCCACGGAAAGCGGUGGUGCGGUGACGAGGUACUGCGAGUGAGUAGUACGACGCACGGAUCCUGGCAGCAGUCACGUCGCGGGACCAAACUAGUUUGUCCGCAAGAUAUGGCGGUAAUUUAAAAUUAACUAUUCCGAACAUCAGCGU